CUCUUAAUCUCUGAGCCAUCCCCUACUUCUCACUGUUUUAACAAAAACACAAAAGCUAAGGUUCCAUGGGAAGAUGUUUGAGUGCUGAGUAAGAAAGGAGAAAGGAGUGGCGGUGACAGUGGCGGUGGCAUCGCUGAGAACCUGGAAUUAUAGCCAGCUUUGAGAUUUACAAACAAAAUUGACGUACCCUACGAUCCGAACAAACCCUCCAGUGAUUAAAGUCAGUCUAAAGCAGUUCCAACAGUCCUGAAGCAGAGCCCUGCACAAGUAAACACACGGUUUCUAGGGAAAGGCACCUUCAUGGGUCACCGCUCGCUCCAGACGUCUUAAGAUUCCUCUGGAUUCAAGCCGUGAGUCUCCCCGAGGUCUUGGUUCUGCGAUGCUGCUGGAUUCAAGCGAUGAGUCUCCCGAGGUCUCGGGUCUGGAUGUCGAACGUGGCUCUCAGCGUAGUGGACUGACUUUUCAGAGGGAGGAGAGUUCCGGGACGUGUUUUUCAUGCAGGCGGGGUGUGCUCUACUUUCUUAGUCCUGAGCUGGUCCCUAAAUCUAAAUACCUUGCUCAUCACACCUAUUUUUAGGUACCUAAUUAGUACAGCUAGCAGGAAAAAAAAAAAGAAAUUUACAAAGGAUUUCAACAAUAGUGUUGAUAUACAUAGCUUUGCUUUGGGACUGUAGAACAGACAUUCCUUUCAAGACCUUAAGAACAUCUAUAAAGGUUGACAUAUACUGGUUUAUAGAGCAAGUACCAAAAAUUUCUAAAAGAUUAAUGUAGUAUACAGUGUGCUUUCUGGCCACAAUAUGACUGACACAUAUUGGGGACAGUGACAGAACGGCGUUUAAAGAGGCAGUGAUAAGGGUCUGACUGUAAGGUGAAGGCUGGGGUACAAUGUGGGCAUCACAUCACUUCUUCCUACCGCAGCUUGUGGGUUGUCCUCUAGUGAACUUUAACGGUGGACACAGCCUAGAGUUGUGAGAGGGAGGCCUCAGUUGAGGGGUUGGGGGUGUCUGUGGCAAACUGUCCCUGUUGUUAGUUGAGUAGGAGGUUUACCAUUCCCUAGGCAGGUGGUCUUAGGCUUCAUAAGAAAGCCUGUGGGUGAGCUAGGAGCAGUGAUCCUUUAUGGUUUCUGCUUCAAGUUUUUGAUUGAGUGCCUGCCUUGAGUUCCCUCAGUGAUGGGCUGUCACCUGGAGUGUAAGGCAAAUAGGUCCUUUUGUCCCCUAAGGUACUUUAUUCCAAGUGUUCUCUGUUUGUUUUGUCACAGCAACAGAAAGGAAACUAAAACACAAAUAACUCAACUCUUUCUCAUAUUUACACAGUGGACAUCCUGUCCAUGAUGUAUCUCUGAAAAAUAAUUUGUGCAUGUAAGAUCUGAAAAUAAUACUAAUAUGGCCUGCUACUAAGUCAUCGAGGAAGCAGGUAAUUCAGGCACCAUUUCAGUUUAGAGUUCAUUUAUGUUCUAACACUUAACAUUUUCUUAGAGUAAAUCUUUAAGAUAUGUUAAUAAAAUCCUACCCAAGAUUUAGUUUGAAGAACCCUCAGUCAAGUCCUUACAUAGACCAUUAAAAAAGAGGGAGAUUGUAGAAUCUGGAUCCAGUGAAAUAUUCCAGACCACCUUCCUUAUUUCAAGUAGGCAAAACUUCACAUCAGCUCUUUAAUCAAAUAAAGCCCUCAUUUCCUCUGGCAUCCCACGAAGCCUGAAUUUCCUGCUUCCCCUGUGGAUAGCAUGUAAAGUUAUGAAGGCUACCUUUGGAGAAUUACUUUCCCUCACACUUAAGUUUAAUUGUUUCUUAGAAAUACAAGGUAAUGAGCUACCCUGUUCUUGGUGCCAUGAAUUCCCUGAACAUCUGCUUUGUUGUACUGAAGGUGACUAAUGUGUUUGAGUCUAUAACCAACGCUACCAGAUAGGACUCCGAAAGCAUCCCAGUCCUACAUGCCAGGGUCUCAACAUUGGUGGGCAUGGGUAAAUAAAUCCCCACUCAGUUACAUAAGAGGCUGGGAUCAUACUUCUUCUCAAGAUACAUUCUUAAGAAAGGGAGCUGUUGGAACGUAUCUUUAUAUAAAUAAUAAACGUGUGACUUACAAGGAAGCCUUUGGUGUUUUGUAGACUGAGUUGGAAACCUGAACAUCUAGGGUCAUCCAGGAGAUCUAGCUAGCACCACAGAGAACAGAUUUGAAUUCCAAUGGAAGAAUCAUCAAGAAGACUAGCCAGCUUCUGCUUUGACAUGAUCCCAACUGUGCUCUGAUUCUCCCCUCUUGGAUUAUAAAAGUAUAUAACUUCUUUGUGUUUCAAAGGGGCUACAGUUAAGAGACUUCCGGUUUUUAAAGAGACAUUGGACUUUUUAAAUUCUUCUAACAUUUUAAAGGCGGCAGGACUGUAUUUUAUAAAUUUUAAAGUUGGACUGUAUUUUAUAAAUUAUGAUAAUAAAAUGAGAUCUGGGGGGCAAACAAGAAAGGCCAGGUUGUGUUUUAAAGUGAUGAGUCUCUCAGAGCUCAGGGAACCCCCUGAAGAGGAGGUGGAAAGAGUGUAGGAGUCAGAGGCGAUGGAGGGCACGGAGAACAAGGCCUCUAGUCAGCUGAGGAAAGCUCAUGAGCUCACAGAGACUGGAGCAGAUCUGUAUCUGUUUCCUGGGCUCCUUUCCUUCUGUUUGUUUUGUCCUAUUCUACAAAUAACGCCAUUUAAAAACGCAGAACUCUCAAAAGUGACACUCAAAUGGCUGAGAAGCGCUUAAAGAAAUGUUCAAUAUCUUUAGCCAUCAGGGAAAUGCAAAUCAAAACUACUUUGAGACUCCAUUUUACACCUGUCGGAAUGGCCAAGAUCGAUAAAACAAAUGGCAGCUGGAUUUUAUCAAAGGCCUUUUCUGCAUUUAA